GUCCCUGUAGUGUAAUGGAUAGCACGUUGGACUUCUAAUCCAAAGCUGUAAGUUCGAAUCCAACCUGGGAUG